UUGGGGGUACGUAGGUAUAUAUAGGAGGAAGGAGUACGUCGGUGGAGCAACAGGGGGCCCACGAGGGUGGAGGGCGCGCCUGGGGGGUAGGCGCGCCCCCUACCUCGUGGCCUCCUCUUUUGUGUCUUGACGUAGGGUCCAAGUCUCCCAGGUCUUGUUCGUUGAGAAAAUCACGUUCCCGAAGGUUUCAUUCCGUUUGGACUCCGUUUGAUAUUCCUUUUCUUCGAAACCCUAAAACAGGCAAAAAACAACAAUUCUGGGCUGGGCCUCCGGUUAAUAGGUUAGUCCCAAAAAUAAUAUAAAGGUGGAAAAUAAAGGUCAAUAAUGUCCAAAUCAGUAGAUAAUAUAGCAGGGAGCAAUCAAAAAUUAUAGAUACGUUGGAGACGUAUCAAGCAUCCCCAAGCUUAAUUCCUGCUCGUCCUCAAGUAGGUAAAUGAUAAAAACAGAAUUUUUGAUGCGGAGUGCUGCUUGGCAUAAUUUUAAUGUAAUUCUUCUUAAUUGUGGUAUGAAUAUUCAGAUCCAAAAGAUUCAAGACAAAAGUUUAAUAUUGACAUAAAAAUAAUAAUACUUCAAGCAUACUAACAAAGCAAUCAUGUCUUCUCAAAAUAGCAUGGGCAAAGAAAGUUAUCCCUACAAAAUCAUAUAGUCUGGCUAUGCUCCAUCUUCACCACACAAAAUAUUUAAAUCAUGCACAACCCCGAUGACAAGCCAAGUAAUUGUUUCAUACUUUUUGCCUUCUGAAAACUUUUUCAAUCUUCACGCAAUACAUGAGCGUGAGCCAUGGACAUAGCACUAUAUGUGGAAUAGAAUGGUGGUUGUGGAGAAGACAAAAGGGGAGAAGAUAGUCUCACAUCAACUAGGCGUAUCAACGGGCUAUGGAGGUGCCCAUCAAUAGAUAUCAAUGUGAGUGGGUAGGGAUUGGCAUGCAACGGAUGCACUAGAGCUAUAAGCAUAUGAAAGCUCAACAAAAGAAACUAAGUGGGUGUGCAUCCAACUUGCUUGCUCAUGAAGACCUAGGGCAUUUUGAGGAAGCCCAUCAUUGGAAUAUACAAGCCAAGUUCUAUAAUGAAAAAUUCCCACUAGUAUAUGAAAGUGAUAACAUAGGAGACUCUCUAUCAUGAAUAUCAUGGUGCUACUUUGAAGCACAAGUGUGGUAAAAGGAUAGUAACAUUGUCCCUUCUCUCUUUUUCUCUCAUUUUUUUAUUUGGGCCUUUUCUCUUUUUAUAUGGCCUCUUUUCUUUCUUCCUUUUUUUAUUUUUUAUUUUUCGUCCGGAGUCUCAUCCUAACUUGUGGGGGAAUCAUAGUCUCCCUCAUCCUUUCCUCACCGGGACAAUGCUCUAAUAAUGAUGAUCAUCACACUUUUAUUUUUCUUACAACUCAACAAUUACAACUCGAUACUUAGAAAAAAAUAUGACUCUAUAUGAAUGCCUCCGGCGGUGUACUGGGAUAUGCAAUGAAUCAAGAGUGACACGUAUGAAAGAAUUAUGAAUGGUGGCUUUGCCACAAAUACGAUGUCAACUACAUGAUCGUGCUAAGCAAUAUGACAAUGAUGGAGUGUGUCAUAAUAAACAGAACGGUGGAAAGUUGCAUGGCAAUAUAUCUCGGAAUGACUAUGGAAAUGCCAUAAUAGGUAGGUAUGGUGGCUGUUUUGAGGAAGGUAUGUGGUGGGUGUAUGAUACAGGCGAAAGGUGCGCGAUAUUAGAGAGGCUAGCAAAGGUGGAAGGGUGAGAAAAGUGGGUAUAAUCCAUGGACUCAACAUUAGUCAUAAAGAACUCAUAUACUUAUUGCAAAAAUCUACAAGUUAUCAAAGCAAAGUAUUACGUGCAUGCUCCUAGGGGGAUAGAUUGGUAGGAAAAAGACCAUCGCUCGUCCCCGACCGCCACUCAUAAGGAAGACAAUAAAAAAUAAAUCAUGCUCCGACUUCAUCACAUAACGGUUCACCAUACGUGCAUGCUACGUGAAUCACAAACUUUAACACAAGUAUUUCUCAAAUUCACAACUACUCAACUAGUACAACUUUAAUAUCACCAUCUUUAUAUCUGAAAACAAUUAUCAAGCAUCAAACUUCUCAUAGUAUUCAACACACUCAUAAGAAAGUUUUAUUAUUAAUUUUGUAUACCAAGCAUAUUAGGAUUUUGAGAAAAUUACCAUGCUAUUUAAGACUCUCAAAAUAAUCUAAGUGAAGCAUGAGAGAUCAAUAGUUUCUAUAAAACAAAUCCACCACCGUGCUCUAAAAGAUAUAAGUGAAGUACUAGAGCAAAACUACAUAACUCAAAAGAUAUAAGCGAAGCACAUAGAGUAUUCUAACAAAUUCCAAAUCAUGUAUGGCUCUCUUAAAAGGUAUGUACAGCAAGGAUGAUUGUGUUAAACUAAAAAGUAAAGACUCAAAUCAUACAAGACGCUCCAAGAAAACACAUAUCAUGUGGCGAAUAAAAAUAUAGCUCCAUGUAAAGUUACCGAUUAGAAGUAGACGAAAGAGGGGAUGCCUUCCGGGGCAUCCCCAAGCUUUGGCUUUUAGGUGUCCUUAGAUUAUCUUGGGGUUGCCAUGGUCAUCCCCAAGCUUAGGCUCUUUCCACUCAUUUUUCCAUAAUCCAUCAAAUCUUUACCCAAAACUUGAAAACUUCACAACACAAAACUUAAAGUAGAAAAUCUCGUGAGCUGCGUUAGCGAAAGAAAACAAAAGACCAAUUCAAGGUACUGUAAUGAACUCAUUCUUUAUUUAUAUUGGUGUUAUACAUACUGUAUUCCAACUUCUCUAUGAUUUAUAAACUAUUUAACUAGCCAUAGAUUCAUCAAAAUAAGCAAACAACACACGAAAAACAGAAUCUGUCAAGAACAGAACAGUCUGUAGUAAUCUGUAGCUAGCGCAAGAUCUGGAACCCAAAAAUUCUAAAAUAAAUUGCUGGACGUGAGGAGUUUAUCUAUUAAUCAUAUGCAAAAAUAAUUAACUAAAUAUCACUUUCCAAAUAAAAAUGGCAGCAGUUCUCGUGAGCGCUAAAGUUUCUGUUUUUUACAGCAAGUGUAACAAGACUUUCCCCAAGUCUUCCCAACGGUUCUACUUGGCACAAACACUAAUUAAACACAAAAAACACAACCAAAACAGAGGCUAGAUAAAUUGUAUAUUACUAAACAGGAGCAAAAAGCAAGGAAUAAAAAUAAAAUUGGGUUGCCUCCCAACAAGCGCUAUCGUUUAACGCCCCUAGCUAGGCAUAACAAGCAAGGAUAGAUCUAGGUAUUGCCAUCUUUGGUAGGCAAUCCAUAAGUGGCUCUCAUAAUAGAUUCAUAAGGUAAUUUAAUUUUAUUUCUAGGAAAGUGUUACAUGCCUUUCCUUAAUGUAAAUUGGAAUGUAAUAUUUCCUUACAUCAUAUCAAUAAUUGCACCAAUCGUUCUAAGUAAAGGUCUACCAAGAAUAAUAGGACAUGAAGGAUUGCAAUCUAUGUCAAGAACAAUAAAAUCUACGGGCACAUAAUUCCUAUUUGCAACAAUAAGAACGUCAUUAAUUCUUCCCAUAGGUUUCUUAAUAGUGGAAUCCGCAAGGUGCAAGUUUAAAGAGCAAUCAUCAAAAUCACGGAAACCUAACAAAUCACACAAAGUUUUUGGAAUCGUGGAAACACUAGCACCCAAAUCACAUAAAUCAUAGCAUUAAUGAUCUUUAAUUUUAAUUUUAAUAGUCGGUUCCCACUCAUCAUAAAGCUUUCUAGGGAUAGAAACUUCCAAUUCAAGUUUUUCUUCAUCAUUAUUUUCAUAGCAACUAGAAGAACACACUCUUAUAAAGGCAUCUUUCUUAGCACACAUCCUAGCGGUUCUUUCUUUGCACUCAUCAAUGGAAUUCUCAUGGCUUUGAGAGACUCAUUGACAUCAUGCUUAGGUGGAAUAGAUAUAAGUUUCAAAGAAUCAACAUCAAGAGAAAUUCUAUCAACGUUCCUAGCCAACUCAUCAAUCUUAAGCAAUGUUUCUUCAAUCAAAGCAUUAAAAUUCUUUUGCGAAGUAAUAAAUUCUUUAAUAUUAGAUUCAAAAUCAGAGGGCAUAUUAUUAUAAUUUCCAUAAGAAUUGUUGUAGGAGUUACCAUAAUUAUUAGAGGGGUUACUAGGAUAAGGCCUAGGAUUAAAAUUUCCUCUAUACGCGUUGUUACCAAAAUUGUUCCUACCAAAAAAAUUCACAUCCAUAGAUUCAUUAUUAUUCUCAAUCAAAGUAGACAAGGGCAUAUCAUUAGGAUCAGAAGGAACACUCUUAUUAGCAAAUAAUUUCAUAAGUUCAUCCAUCUUUCCACUCAAAACAUUAAUUUCUUCUAUCGCAUGCACGUUUUUAUUAGUAGAUCUUUCAGUAUGCCAUUGACAAUAAUUAACCAUAAUAUUAUCUAGGAGUUUAGUAACUUAUCCUAAAGUGAUUUCCAUAAAAGUGCCUCCCGCGGCCGAAUCUAAAAGAUUUCUAGAAGCAAAAUUCAAUUCGACAUAAAUUUUUUGUAUAAUUAUCCACAAAUUUAAACCAUGAGUAGGGCAAUUAUGUAUCAUUAGUUUUAUUCUCUCCCAAGCUUGUGCAACAUGUUCAUGAUAAGGUUGCUUAAAAUUCAUAAUAUCAUUUCUAAGAGAGACGAUCUUAGCGGGAGAAAAAUACUUAGAGAUAAAAGCAUCUUUGCACUUAUUCCAUGAAUCAAUACUAUUUUUAGGCAAAGACGAAAAACAAGCUUUAGCAUGAUCUCUAAGUGAAAAAGGAAAUAGCUUCAAUUUAACAAUAUCAUUAUCCACAUCUUUCUUCUUUUGCAUAUCACACAAAUCAACGAAGCUAUUUAGAUGGGUAGCGGCAUCUUCACUAGGAAGGACGGAAAACAGAUCUUUCAUGACAAGAUUCAGCAAAGCAGUAUUAAUUUCACAAGGUUCAGCAUCGGCAAGAGGAGCAAUCGGAGUGCUAAUAAAAUCAUUGUUGUUGGUAUUGGUGAAGUCACACAAUUUAGUGUUAUCUUGAGCCAUCGUGACAAACAAGCAAACUAACACACAAGCAAACAAAAAGCAAGUGGGCAAAAAGAGGCAAAUAGAGAAAGAGAUAGAGGAUAGAGAGCGAAUAAAACAGCAAGGUUGAAGUGGGGGAGAGGGAAACGAGAGGCAAAUGGCAAAUAAUGUAAUGCGGGAGAUAAGGGUAUGUGAUGGGUACUUGGUAUGUUGACUUUUGCGUAGACCUCCCCGGCAACGGUGCCAGAAAUCCUUCUUGCUACCUCUUGAGCACUGCGUUGGUUUACCCCAAAGAGGAAGGGAUGAUGCAGCAAAGUAGCGCAAGUAUUUCCCUCGGUUUUUGAGAACCAAGGUAUCAAUCCAGUAGGAGGCUACGCGCGAGUCCAUCGUACCUGCACAAAACAAAUAAAUCCUCGCAACCAACACGAAUAGGGGUUGUCAAUCCCUACACGGCCACUUACGAGAGUGAGAUCUGAUAGAUAUGAUAAGAUAAUAUUUUUGGUAUUUUUGUGAUAAAGAUGCAAAGUAAAAUAAAGGCAAAGUAAAAAUCAAAGGAAAUAACUAAGUAGUAGGAGAUUAAUAUGAUAAAGAUAGACCCGGGGGCCAUAGGUUUCACUAGUGGCUUCUCUCAAGAGCAUAAGUAUUCUACAGUGGGUGAACAAAUUAUUGUUGAGCAAUUGACAGAAUUGAGCAUAGUUAUGAGAAUAUCUAGGUAUGAUCAUGUAUAUAGGCAUCACGUCCGAGACAAGUAGACCGACUCCUGCCUGCAUCUACUACUAUUACUCCACUCAUCGACCGCUAUCCAGCAUGCAUCUAGAGUAUUAAGUUAAAAACAGAGUAACGCCUUAAGCAAGAUGACAUGAUUUAGAGGGAUAAACUCAUGCAAUAUGAUGAAAAUCCCAUCAUGUAUAUAUAGGAGGAAGGAGUACGUCGGUGGAGCAACAGGGGGCCCAUGAAGGUGAAGGGCGCGCCGGGGGUAGGCGCGCCCCUACCUCGUGGCCUCCUCUUUUGUGUCUUGGCGUAGGGUCCAAGUCUCCUGGGUCUUGUUCAUUGAGAAAAUCACGUUCCCGAAGGUUUCAUUCCGUUUGGACUCCGUUUGAUAUUCCUUUUCUUCGAAACCC
rnacentral:lncRNA from 1 species